UGUAGCGUCAUGCAUCGCGUUUCUUUCCCGCUUUCUCUUUGUUGAUGUAUGAUGUACUAUAUAGUUUGUGAUAUAUAAGGUUUUAUUAUUAUAAGUUACUAUUUUUCUAAUAAAUGAUCUUUAUCUCGAAGGCACUAUUCAAUUUUUUUCACCAGAAUUGAGGAUAGAACCUAAAUUACCCCUAUUAUACGUCAGUAGGUGAGGAAACGUGGUUGGGAGAUGGUUGGAGUGGAAUAAAAAGUGAGAAUAAAAGAGAAAGGGGCUUCGAGGAUUGCAUCGAGCAGAAUGAAACUGCGAGCGACAGAUUGUGAGAACUGCCAAUACGUCAUUCGAAUGUCAAUAAGUCGAAGGAAGACGGUUUUAACCAUUUCAAUUGUUGACCAUAAAAUUAAUAUUAUUCAACUUACAAAAAAGGAUUGAAAUCGUCAAUAUAAAAUAUAAAAUUAUACAAUUGGAUAUUCAUAUAUUUAUCACAUGUCUAUUAUUGUAAAUGCAAAGAUUUUUCAAAUGGAAACGGAUAUUCAAAUUAAACUCUGAUUGCUUUUACUUUUUUUGAAAUAUGGUUGAAUAAUUUAGAAAAUAACAAUAAAUGAUAUUCAAUCAAAUAUCGGAAAGAAAACACUUAUGUUAAAAGCAUUGUGUUAAAAUCUAAAAUACGACAAAAUCUUGAGUAACCUGAAAAAGAUGUUUUAUCUUUCGCAACUUUCGAAGAAGAUCAAAAUGAACAGAAACAUGGUUCUCUACUAAAAUGAUUGAUGAUCAAAUGGGAGAAGAAAAGAAGCAGAUCAAUUUUAUAUCAUUUACGAAACAGUUUUGUGAAGUUCAAAAGAAAUUUCAGACAUUAAAAAAUUUAU